rnacentral:rRNA from 1 species
AAGGGUGCUAUGCUGCAGUCGAGCGACGCAUGCCCAGUUCGUAAGAACAGGGUAUGACGGAGCGGCGAACGGGUGAGUAACACGUGAGCAACCUGCCCCACAGACCGGGAUAGCCCAAGGAAACUUGGAUUAAUACCGGAUUCCCUCGAACAAUCGCAUGGUUGAUCGAGGAAAGGCCUUUGUGCUGUGGGAUGGGCUCGCGGCUUAUCAGCUAGUUGGUGGGGUAAAGGCCUACCAAGGCAUCGACGAGUAGCUGGUCUGAGAGGACGAUCAGCCACACUGGAACUGAGACACGGUCCAGACUCCUACGGGAGGCAGCAGCAGGGAAUCUUGCGCAAUGGGCGAAAGCCUGACGCAGCAACGCCGCGUGGGGGAUGAAGGCCUUCGGGUUGUAAACCCCUUUCAGGAGGGAAGAAAUUGACGGUACCUCCAGAAGAAGGACCGGCCAACUACGUGCCAGCAGCCGCGGUAAUACGUAGGGUCCUAGCGUUAUCCGGAAUCAUUGGGCGUAAAGAGCUCGUAGGCGGUUCAGCAAGUCGGCUGUGAAAGUCCGAGGCUUAACCUCGGAAUUGCAGUCGAUACUGCUGUGACUCGAGUCCGGUAGAGGAGAAUGGAAUUCUCGGUGUAGCGGUGAAAUGCGCAGAUAUCGAGAGGAACACCAGUAGCGAAGGCGGUUCUCUGGGCCGGCACUGACGCUGAGGAGCGAAAGCGUGGGGAGCAAACAGGAUUAGAUACCCUGGUAGUCCACGCCGUAAACGUUGGAUACUAGGUGUGGCGGUUGUACCAACGACUGCCGUGCCGAAGCUAACGCAUU